AUGGUGGAAGUGGAGCAGAAGAAGAAGAGGACCUUCCACAAGGUCAUCUACCACAGUGUGGACCUGGAGCAGCUGCUGGACAUGUCCUAUGAGCAGCUGAAGCAUGCGACAGCAGUGGCAGCUGAACUGAAGCCUGCAGUGGAAGCAGCACUCGCUGUGUAAGCAGCUGCGCAAGGCCAAGAAGAAGGAGCCCCUCAUGGAGAAGCCGGAGGUGGUGAAGACGCCCCUGUGUGACAUGAUAAUCCUGCCCAAGAUGGCGGGCAGCAUGGUGGGUGUGUGCAACGGCAAGACCUUCAACCAGGUGGAGAUCAAGCCGGAGAUAAUCGGCCGCUACCUAGGCAAGUUCUCCAUCACUUACAAGCCUGUGAAGCAUGGCCAGCUCGGCAUUGGUGCCACCCACUUCAUCCCACUCAAGUAG